rnacentral:rRNA from 1 species
UAAGGGAUCUUGCGACAAUGGGCGAAAGCCUGACGCAGCAACGCCGCGUGCGGGAUGACGGCCUUCGGGUUGUAAACCGCUUUUCGAGGGGAAGAGGGAGGACGGUACCCUCGGAAUAAGUCUCGGCUAACUACGUGCCAGCAGCCGCGGUAAAACGUAGGAGGCGAGCGUUAUCCGGAUUUACUGGGUGUAAAGCGCGUGCAGGCGGUCGUGUAAGUGGUGCGUGAAAGCUCCCGGCUCAACCGGGAGAGGACGUGCCAAACUGCAGCGCUAGAGGCAGGUAGAGGCGUGUGGAAUUCCGGGUGUAGUGGUGAAAUGCGUAGAGAUCCGGAGGAACACCAGUGGCGAAGGCGACACGCUGGGCCUGGCCUGACGCUCAGACGCGAAAGCAUGGGGAGCGAACG